UGGUUUAUGCAGUCGAGCGAUGGAUUCNGUNGGCGCGGGUGAGUAACACGUGGGUAACCUGCCCAUAAGACUGGGAUAACUCCGGGAAACCGGGGCUAAUACCGGAUAACAUUGAACUGCAUGGCGAAUGAAGGCGGCUCGGCUGUCACUAUCGGAUUGUGACCCUGCUGUCGCGAUUCAGCUAGNUUGGUGAGUGUAACAGUGGCGUCACCAAAUGUGCAACUGGAUUGGCCGUAAGCCGACCUUGAAGCAGUGGGUGAAUNCUGGUGGCCCAACAACCUUGGGUGAACCUUGGAUGGACCAACUUGGCCCCCAAAGAACCUUCCCUAACAG
rnacentral:rRNA from 1 species